rnacentral:lncRNA from 1 species
CGUCUGACGAGUUUACACUUGCAGGGCGAGGGAGGAAGGAAUGAUUUUUAAUUGGACCACCUGGGCGGGAAAUUCGUCACUCGUUCAUCCUGCGCAAAUAUGAGUGUCCCGGAGUGAACAUAAUUGUACACUCGCAAAGCCGACUAAAAACGAGGGCUGAGGGGCUUAUGUUGUAAACUUCCCUUACUUGGCUAAUCAUUUGGAUCACCCUCCAAGAUGGCGACAGGGAUUCCCCCAAGGGCAUAAGGCGAGGGUAAGUAGACGAGGGUGUGUCUUUUAAGUGUUUGGACCGCAGCCAUGGCCUACAUACAUAAAAGUAUCUUCAUUAGUCCUGUUCCUCUAAGAAAGUGAAAUGUAGCCCUAGACACAACCACAUAAACUCAUUAAAAACUCACUACCCCAUUCCAGUACUUUGACUCUAUCUGCUCCUGCACCAUGCCAAUGGCCUGGGAGGGCGGGACACCAUCACUCAACACCUCCUGUAAACUCUUCUGAAAACAAAUCUUGUUUAUCCAAAUACAUCUCUGCAGCUGCCACCACAACAUCUAUUUUCUGUGAUUUACAUUCCAUUUCUGAGGUGCAGUUGAUAACCAUUGUUAUGAACGCUAAGAAGAUAAACUUAUUGAAGCAUAAAUCACUCGUUGGCCUAUCCCUCUGUGCAAGCACAAAUCUACUACUCACUGGAAUCCUCUCAGGAUCGCUCACCCUUUACCCAUACUACUCUACUCUCUUCACUGCCUCAGCAUACGACACCCUCUGCACUACUCUGAUUCUUGCCAGUUCAACCUGCCUCUCUCGCACCGAACACUUCCGAUCCCUAGCAACAUGGGCACCCCUACAGUUAACACACACAACUUUAUCCACUGAAACCACACAAUCCUCUGUCUCAUGCCCUCCUGCACACUUCCCACAUCUUGGAAUCUCCUUCCUACACACUGCUGCAACAUGACCAUAAACGUGGCACCUGAAACACUGCAGUGGAUUCGGCACAAAAGCUCUAACAGGAUAACUGAUACAUCCUAACAUGUCAG